rnacentral:rRNA from 1 species
GAUGAACGCUGGCGGCGUGCUUAACACAUGCAAGUCGAACGAUGAAGCCCAGCUUGCUGGGUGGAUUAGUGGCGAACGGGUGAGUAACACGUGAGUAACCUGCCCUUAACUCUGGGAUAAGCCUGGGAAACUGGGUCUAAUACCGGAUAGGAGCGUCCACCGCAUGGUGGGUGUUGGAAAGAUUUAUCGGUUUUGGAUGGACUCGCGGCCUAUCAGCUUGUUGGUGGGGUAUUGGCUCACCAAGGCGACGACGGGUAGCCGGCCUGAGAGGGUGACCGGCCACACUGGGACUGAGACACGGCCCAGACUCCUACGGGAGGCAGCAGUGGGGAAUAUUGCACAAUGGGCGCAAGCCUGAUGCAGCGACGCCGCGUGAGGGAUGACGGCCUUCGGGUUGUAAACCUCUUUCAGUAGGGAAGAAGCGAAAGUGACGGUACCUGCAGAAGAAGCACCGGCUAACUACGUG